rnacentral:lncRNA from 1 species
CUGCUUCCUGCUGUUGUUACCCAGACUCCUGUGCUGGGAGAUGGCAAAGUUGACAUAAAUCACAUUACCUGUGAUUUUUCAAAUGGAAUGUAUAGAGUUGUAAUCAGACAUUCAAGUCAAGGAAAAAUCUGAUCAUGUCUCCUCCAGACCUGGAGAUCUCUCCACGAAGGUGUUUUGAGGAGUGUGGCACUCCGGCUCCUGUUCACUGCUGGUGAAAAUGCAUGGCUGAUGGUGAUGACUAUGAUGAGAAAUAGUGUUUUGUAGCUGAGAAUUUGCUCUGUCAAAUAGUGUUACUGUGCUCCUUGUAGCUGUUGUAGUUUCCAUCGAAACAAAUAGGAGAUGUUACUUGUGGUGCAACCUAUGUAUAUGCAGCUUGAGACAAUUCCUCUUCACUCAGUGCAGCCCACGCAAGCCAAAAGAUUGGACAUUUGUGGACUAAGGUACAGAAUGAGCUGCCAGAAGUGCUCACCAAGCCACUGUCAAUAAUUUACCAGCAGUCCUGGCCAACUGGAGAGAUGGCAGUUGACUGGAGGUUAGCUAAUGCAGAGCCCAUCCACAAGAGCAGGCAGAAGGAUCAGGGGAACCAAAGGCCAGUCAGACUGAAUGUGAGCCAGCAUCCUGGUGAUAGCUGCAGGCAAUGAGAUUUUACAGCGUGGCGGAAACUACCACUGUACUGGCAAAUCCUUUUACACAGAUGUAUUAG